GUUGGGCAUGGUGGCGGAUGCCUGUGAUCCCAGUUACUCGGAGGCUGAGGUAGAAGAAUCACUUGGACCCGGGAGACGGAGGUUGCAGUGAGCCAAGAUUGUGCCACUGCACUCCAGCCUGGGUGACAGAGUGAGAAUCUGUCUCAA
rnacentral:SRP_RNA from 1 species